GAUGAAGAACGUAGCGAAAUGCGAUAAGUAAUGUGAAUUGCAGAAUUCAGUGAAUCAUCGAAUGUUUGAACGCACAUUGCGCCCGCCAGUAUUCUGGCGGGCAUGCCUGUUCGAGCGUCAUUUCAACCCUCAGGCCCCCAGUGCCUGGUGUUGGGGAUCGGCCCAGCCUUCCUGUAAGGCCGCCGGCCCCGAAAUCUAGUGGCGGUCUCGCUGUAGUCCUCCUCUGCGUAGUAGCACAACCUCCCAGUUGGAACGCGGCGGUGGCCAUGCCGUUAAACACCCCACUUCUGAAAGUUGACCUCGGAUCAGGUAGGAAUACCCGCUGAACUUAAGCAUAUCAAUAAGCGGAGGA
rnacentral:misc_RNA from 1 species